UGCAACCAUUGAAAAGUUUUUCUCUAGCAACCCAAGGCCGGGUUCGUCAUCAUCAUCAACGAAUAAAUCAGCAAGGUAUUUGCUGGCAAGAGACUUAGCUCUAUGGUUUAGUUGCGAUUUGCAGCCAUUUAGUGCAGUAUCUGACCGGGGCAUGAUUGACUUUAUGAGAAAAUAUGGUGUUAUUGGAAAAGAGGAAAAUCUACCCAGCCGUACGACGGUUUCAAGAGAAGCAUUGAGCGAUAUUUAUGGUUCAAUGAUGACUUUUGUGAAGGAAAAGAUCUCAAAUUCUGGUAAAUUUGGAACCCUUACCUUCGACUUAUGGACGGAUGGCUAUAGACGUAGAUCGUACAUUACGUUCACUUAUCAUUUUAUGGAUGGUGACAUGAGUCUUUCGAAAAUAACACUCUGUACAAAUCCAAUGGAUGAAAAAAAAACCGG